CUCUAAUUCAACAUCACGAAACAUACAAUAUAAAAAUUUAAGUGUGAAAUAGGUUUAGGAUCUUUGACAAAUAUGAUGAGUAAUGAACAAGAUUUAGAUUAACUAAUCUAUCAAAACAGGGCUGGGCCAAUACCAAGAAAUCUUCCCCACCACGAGUGGAAAGCCUGUGACACCACAGUCUCCUGAAUUGGCAAAACCUGCCAAGUUAGGUUCACGAGUUAUCUCCUCAAGAACCCAUUCUUGCUUUUCCUAUAUAAACACCCAAAACCCAGAACUUGGAGAGAAAAAGAAAAGCAUUAGUAGUAAUAGAGUAUAGCAACAAAAAUGGGGAGAGUCCAAAAGCUUUUUCUUGUGAUUGCUGUGCUCCUUGCAGUAAUCAGCAGCAACAGGUUGCUUCAGCUUUCUAAUGCACAAACCAUCUGCAACAUGCCGGUGGCAGGACUAAUGGCAUGCAAGCCUGCUGUGACUCCUCCAAACCCUGCUGCUCCGACAAGCGACUGCUGCUCGGCUCUUUCCCACGCAGACAUUCGGUGUCUAUGCUCUUACAAGAAUUCCAAGUUGCUUCCUUCUCUUGGGAUUGAUCCAAACCUUGCCAUUCAGCUUCCAGCCAAGUGCAAGCUUCCUCACCCUGCCAACUGCUAGAUUAAAGAACAAGUUGAGUUUCUGCUCAGUUUGGAAGGAUUUAAUAAUUAGCAGAAAGAAACAAAAGCUGUUGUUGUGAUAAAGGUGAAGUUUGAGGGAUCUUUUGAUGUUGGUUAAUUUAGCAACUUAUUGUAUUUUUCUUGUUCUUGAGUUGGCAUUAUAUCUGUAUGAUGGUUGUGUCUCAAAUGGAAUAAUAUUUUAAGAAAUGUUCUAUGUUAAUUAAUUAUUGUUAGAUAAGUUCAAAUUAGCAAAUCUAAAAUUAUGUGCAAUAUAUAUAUAUAUAUAA
rnacentral:misc_RNA from 1 species